ACAGGUCAGCUGGCAGAUUUCUCCAGAUUCUUGCCAGCAGCAGCAGAAAAAUCAUAUCACUUCUUCAACACACUAAAGAAGUCGGACCAGUUCAAUUGGACAGAAGAAUGUGAAGAAGCCUUCAUAAAAUUCAAGAAUACCCUAGGAUCACCACCUAUAUUAAAAAAGCCAGAGCAAGGUAAGCCGUUAUAUCUUUUCCUUUCGGUUUCAACUAACACAAUAAGUUUAGUACUUGUAACAGAAAACGACAAGGAGCAACACCCAGUAUAUUUCGUGAGCAAAGUUUUGCAGGGUGCUGAAACAAGGUACCCAAUGAUAGAAAAACUAGCAUUUGUACUUAUCAUCACAGCUCGGAGGCUGCGUCACUACUUCCAAGGAUACCGAAUUAUUGUUCGGACCAACCAACCACUACGGUAAAUCCUAGCGAGACCCGACCUGGCAGGAAGGCUCACAAAGUGGUCGGUCGAGCUCUCAGAAUUCAACAUCACAUAUCAGUCCAGGGGAUCCCCCAGGGCCCAAGCUCUAGCCGAUUUCAUAUCAGAGUUCACAAGUAUAGUAGAGGAACAAGAGUCAAGGGAAUUGUAUGUAGAUGGAGCAUCCAAUGACAAUGGGUGUGGAGUAGGUAAACUACUAAGAGACAGCAAAGGCGUACAUGUCGAACAAUCAAUCAAAUUCAUGUUCCAAACAACAAAUAACCAAGCCGAGUAUGAGGUGCUACUGGCAGGGUUAAGACUAGCAAAAGAAAUCCAAGUGCUGAACUUGCAGGUUAUUACUGGCCGACCUUCAGAUCGGACUGCACAGAUAAAGUUCGAAGAUGUGAGUCAUGUCAAAAGUGUUCGCCAUUAAUACACAGCCAGGCCGAGGCAUUACACAUGACCGACGCCAGCUGGCCCUUUCACAGGUGGGGCAUGGACAUCCUCAGACCACUCCCAAUAUCACCAGGACAGGUAAAGUUCCUUUUGGUGGCUAUUGAUUAUUUCACAAACUGGAUAGAAGCACAGCCACUCGCAAAAAUAACCUCGGACAAGGUACAAAAGUUUAUUUGGAAAUUUAUCAUUUGUAGAUAUGGUUUGCCAAGAGAAAUUGUUUCCGAUAACGGUAGGCAGUUUAGUGUCAAAAAAUUAUCACUUUUCUAACUAACAUGAAUAUUAGACACCAUUUUUCCUCUGUCGAGCACCCACAAACUAACGGGCUUGCAGAGGCCGCUAAUAAAGUGAUUUUGCAGGCUCUUAAGAAGAAACUGAUCGAUACUAAAGGCCAUUGGGCCGAACUCAUACCAGAAAUAUUGUGGAGCUAUAACACAACUCCACAAUCCACAACAAAGGAGAGCCCUUUCCGUUUAGUGUAUGCAGCUGAAUGUAUGAUUCCUUUAGAGCUUGCUUAUGGCUCAACCCGGACCGAACAAUUCAAUGAAGACGCCAACAGGCAAGCUCGGUUCGCUGAGCUUGAUGUCAUUGAUGAAGAACGCCACCUCACAGAACUGAGGCAAAGAUCGAUGCAAUCAGUAAUGAAGCGUCAAUACGACAAGAAAGUCAGAUAAAGAACAUUUGAAGAAGGAGACCUAGUGCUCAGACAACUAGAAGAUAUCCGAAAACCGCCAUGUCAUGAAAAAUUAGCGUCAUCAUGGGAAGGACUUUUCCGGAUUGCUAAAGUAGUCGGCAAAGGAGCCUAUCGCCUAGAAACAUUGAAUGGAACAACCUUGCCAAACACAUGGAACAUCUCGUCACUCAAGUACUACUAUAGCUUAUCACUUUACUGUAAUAAGUAGGAUGGCCAGGUACUCUUUUUCCUAACCACGAGGUUUUUCCCUAAGGAGGGUUUACUCAGGUAGGUUUUAACGAGGCCGACCAUCCUACAAACCCCAAACAUGAGGAACAAUUUCAAAUGGCAUAUAUUCACUAUAUUAUUCAUUCA